AUUGAACGCUGGCGGCAGGCCUAACACAUGCAAGUCGAACGAGUGGCGGACGGGUGAGUAAUGUCUGGGAAACUGCCUGAUGGAGGGGGAUAACUACUGGAAACGGUAGCUAAUACCGCAUACCAUCAGAUGUGCCCAGAUGGGAUUAGCUAGUUGGUGGGGUAAGGGCUCACCUAGGCGACGAUCCCUAGCUGGUCUGAGAGGAUGACCAGCCACACUGGAACUGAGACACGGUCCAGACUCCUACGGGAGGCAGCAGUGGGGAAUAUUGCACAAUGGGCGCAAGCCUGAUACAGCCAUGCCGCGUGUGUGAAGAAGGCCUUCGGGUUGUAAAGCACUUUCAGCGAGGAGGCGUUACCCGCAGAAGAAGCACCGGCUAACUCCGUGCCAGCAGCCGCGGUAAUUC
rnacentral:rRNA from 1 species